rnacentral:rRNA from 1 species
GGCAAAAUUGGCAUGUGAUACCUUUUCGGAAAGCCCAAAGAGAGCCCUCCGACGAAAGAAGCAAGACAAUGGAACUUUUCCAUUGACUUUUUGUCGACUCCAAAUUUUGACCUUUAAGUACUUUUUCGGGCAUUUUCGUGAUUUGUGCUAUAUUACGGACCCAAAAUUACUUUUUCAAGCAUUGUUUUCGAAUAUUUUUCAUGCAUCAAAGCUCGUUAAGACUAGAUGGGGUAUCCCUACAUGGCGGGUGGGACCCACGGCGAACGGUUCAUCAAGACUUAAAAAAAGAAUAUAUACGAUUGCAUUGCAUAUACUAACGGAUGCGAUCAUACCAGCACUAAUGCACCGGAUCCCAUCAGAACUCCGCAGUUAAGCGUGCUUGGGCGAGAGUAGUAUUAGGAUGGGUGACCUCCCGGGAAGUCCUCGUGUUGCAUCCCUCUUUUUUUUUUUUUUUUUUUUGGUUAAAACUUUAUGACUCCAUAACUUUUAUACCGAGA